AAAUGCAUAAGUUAUGUGAAAUGAAAACCAUAUUUCCAAGAUUUUUUUAUUCCAUUAAAAUUUUUAAGGCUAUCAAAUUAUUGGAAGAAAUGGUCAAAACAUUAAGUUUAAGGUCUUUAAUUAAAGCUUAUUAGACAAGCUUUUAAAUACUUUUUACUGGAAUUGUCUAUCAGUUUUAGUUUUAAUGUUAUAUGAACUUCAACAGUGAAUAAAAACUGAUUUUUUCGAAAACUCGUGGAAAUUUCAAACAGCCAUAACUUCACAACUAUUCGAACGAUUCAGCCCAUCUUUGAACUUGAUCAAGAUAAUCGCCUAUGGAAUAAGUGUGAAAAAUUUCAUUAAGAUCCGAUAAGAACUGUAGGCGCUAUCGUAAUGACAAGACCAGUUAUAAUCAUACGUCGUAGAGGUUAUUUUGUGCACAAUAAAAUACAACUGACGAAAUUUGAUUAUAAUGGGAAAUGCAUAAAUGAUGUUGAAUGAACACCAUAUUUUCAACAUUUUUUGAUUCCAUUAAAAUUUUCAAGGCUAUCAAAUUAUUUGAAGAAAUGGUCAAAACAUCAAGUUUAAGGCAGCAGCUUUCUUAAACACAGUAUUGCCGAUAAAAAAUCAUCUUGAGAACUGCGACCCUAUAGUUCACACAACAUGUCGAGUUACUUCAUACAACGAGUUCAUUUCUGUCAUAACUAUUUUUAUUAUCGGAACG